GAUGAACGCUAGCAACAGGCUUAACACAUGCAAGUCGAGGGGAAACGAUAUUGGAAGCUUGCUUCCGAUAGGCGUCGACCGGCGCACGGGUGAGUAACGCGUAUCCAACCUGCCCACCACUUGGGAAUAACCUUGCGAAAGUAAGACUAAUGCCCAAUGAUAUCUCUAGAAGACAUCUGAAGGAAAUUAAAGAUUUAUCGGUGAUGGAUGGGGAUGCGUCUGAUUAGCUUGUUGGCGGGGUAACGGCCCACCAAGGCGACGAUCAGUAGGGGUUCUGAGAGGAAGGUCCCCCACAUUGGAACUGAGACACGGUCCAAACUCCUACGGGAGGCAGCAGUGAGGAAUAUUGGUCAAUGGGCGAGAGCCUGAACCAGCCAAGUAGCGUGCAGGAUGACGGCCCUAUGGGUUGUAAACUGCUUUUAUAAGGGAAUAAAGUUAGUCUCGUGAGACUUUUUGCAUGUACCUUAUGAAUAAGGACCGGCUAAUUCCGUGCCAGCAGCCGCAGUAA
rnacentral:rRNA from 1 species